GAAAGAUUACGAACCCCCAUUUGGUUCCAAGGUCAGAGAGCACCCGUGCGUCGAGAGCAUGAAGGACAACGUGCUGAGAGACCGAGGACGGCCUGAAAUCCCCAGCUUCUGGCUCAACCACCAGGGCAUCCAGAUCGUGUGUGAGACGCUGACAGAGUGCUGGGACCAUGACCCUGAGGCCCGCCUCACAGCCCAGUGUGUGGCAGAGCGCUUCAGUGAGCUGGAGCAUCCAGAUAGACUCUCUGGGAGGAGCUGCUCCCAGGAGAAGAUUCCAGAAGAUGGUUCACUGAACACUACCAAAUAGCUUUUUCUGGGCAGGCUGGACCAAGCCUUCAGAAGCCGCCCUUUCACCAAAGACCAGAGGCAGCUGGAUGCUGUCCUCACGGAUGCUUCUGGGAAACCAAGGACUUGCUCCCUUCUUACCUGAGAGCUGCUCCAUAUUCAGAAACAGCAGCAGCAGCAGGAGCAGUAGGGGCUAAGUGACAGAGAGCAUUCUGUGCCUUGGACGUUGUCAUGGCAUAAGCUGUAUUAGCACCUCCUCAGGAAAUGAGAUUGAUUUUUACAACAGCCAAUAACAUUUGCACUUUAUUAAUGCCUGUAUGUAAAUAUGGAUAGCUAUGUUUUAUAUCUAUAUAUCUAUAUAUGUCUAUAUCUCUCUAUCUAUAGCCAUACUCUGCAAGGAGACAAAGAAAAAGAUCAAAUGCUCCCAGGAGAUUAGCUUUUAUUGGAGAGUUCCAAACUGGAGCAGAAGGGACUCGCGACAACAUUAGCACUUGACAAUCACACACGUGAUGGUCCCCUGAAUGUGGGAUUGGGGGGAUGGUUGCAUGAAAAGGAUCCAUGCCUCACAGCCUGCUUUGGCCACAAAACACUUUUGUUUUGCAAUAAUUGCCCUCUAUAUGCGGGUGCUUUCCAGGCCAGGGAGCUAAGUUCCAGCCCACCGCUAUGUCCCAGGGUCUUCCAUGUGCCUUGCUUUUCUUCAUUUUAUCAUCGACAUUCAAGUUCUACAUCUGACUUGUGAACCUGUGGACUUAGCCUAGAACCCUGGCUCCAUCCUUCCGCUUUCAUGGACUAUGGAAAUCAAAGAGGACAUUUUCCCCACCCAUGAAAGUGUCAACCAUCUGAUAAGAUUGUGCUGUUUGAUUUUUCUUCUGUGCCGAAGUUACUAUUACUCAUCUCCAGCUGUUCCCAGUUGUUUUUUGGUUUAGUGUGGCACACGCCACACCCCGCCCCUGCAGCACUGUGUUUCAUUUUUGUCACUCUCCUGCAGUAGUCGCCAGCUUGCCAUGGCAACACCGAUGGCUUCCAUCUUCCCAGGCGCCCGAAUAGCAGACAGGAUUUAAAUGACACACACACACACUGCCCAUCCUGUACAACUUGUCUGGGGAUACUUUGAGCCCGUGUUUUGCUUAGUCAGCACAAUGUCUGUAAAAAUUUAAGUAUUGGAGGUGUCGCAGAAAAAUCUCCAUUCUAGGUAAGGAGUGAGUGUGUUCCCAGCGUCCCCUCUAGAGGGCACCGCUGACAGUAAGAGGGUGUGACUCUGACACCUCUGCUUCUUUUCUCACCCUUAAACAGUCUUCACAUUACCCACCCCCACGCCAGUCUGGAAAUGAAAGCUGCUGCCAGUCAAGACCCGUUGUAAGAAAUGAGCAUCUGGGAGUCUGGAGAGAUAGCUCAGCAAAUAAAAACCAGUGCCUCCCAAGCAAAAGGACCUGAGUUCAAUCCCCCAGAACCCAUGAUAAAAAGCCAUGGUCCUCGGAACACACUUGUAAUCUCAGCACUGGGGAGGUGAACACCCAUGGGAGCUUAUUGGUCAGCUAAGAAGACUCUCGGCAAGGUGAACAGUAUCCUGGCGGAUGACCCUGUCUUUGACCCCUGACCUCCAGACACGCCUGCACCACACGUACACCCUCACACACAUGCACACACUAGAAACGGGCAUUCAAGCCGCCGCGUGUUGGUGCCAUGCUGGACUGCAUGUACCUUGUCUGAUGUUAGGGAUUGAAGCUGACUAGGAAUUGGACCUCGGGACCUCCUGUGCUUGAUCCUCCUUAGGUCAAGUUCUUGGUCUCGGCAUGGUCCUAACCCUUGCAGAAAUGGCUUUGAAUAGGGGACACACAACACUUCCAUGUGGAGUUCGGAAAUCUGUGUCCACUUGGAUGAGCGCAAAGAAUGGGCUUUAAUUAGGGAUCUUGCUAAUCCACCUCCAAAUGUGGAUGGGGCUAGCAACAGUAUUUUUUUUUUAAAUGUGUUUUUGAAGCUUCUUUUCAACCAAAUAGGAACAUGAUUGAAGGGCCACCAAAGCUCAUUUUAUUCUGUCUGGACCAUGGGAGGCCUCAGAUCACAGGGGGGUUUAGGAUACAUGGUCAAGAUGGGGAUGGGACAGAAAUCUGUGUACUCUGCCCUGUGGAAGUGUGUUGAGCAACACCUUGGAAAUCCCCCAAAUCCACUUGCACCUUAGGGCAUGCCGACGCCCUCCCAAUAGCUGUUCUUCACCGCCCUCUAGCGGUGAGUUUAUAGAAUACUGGUCCACUAGUGGGAUUUCUAGGGUUCGAAAGUGAUUUUGCUUCCGGGUUAUCAUCAGAAACUGGAACACAGUGUCAUGUUACUGUGGUUUGUUUUGUUUAUGUCAUUUUUUUUCUUAUUCAAGAAAAAGACCAAGGAAUAGCAUUGUAGUCAUUCCUCGUCAUGUUGACUUCUGUUCACUACUCCGCAUAAAGGGAAGGUUUUAUUCUUUUGUUGAACACUUCAGCCAUACUCAUGUAUUAAAAUAGGAAUGUGAAUGCACCAUGUUCUUUUUAUAUCAAAAUCUAAAGCACUUAUUUUCAUUCUAUGCAGUUUUUCUUUUAUAUAAAUAAAAACAUCUAGUAGAU